rnacentral:ncRNA from 2 species
UUGAAUUGAAUAUUUUAUGGUUGCAGAGCAGCGCUUAAAAGCUGCUUUCCGGGGAAGUUGGGUGAAAAUCCCACACGGUCCCGCCACUGUGAACAGGCAUUGCGCCUGGAAGUCAGGAUACCGGAAACCAUAAUGCGUACUGCCCA